UACGUAGGGCGCAAGCGUUGUCCGGAAUUAUUGGGCGUAAAGAGCUCGUAGGCGGCUUGUCACGUCGGUUGUGAAAGCCCGGGGCUUAACCCCGGGUCUGCAGUCGAUACGGGCAGGCUAGAGUGUGGUAGGGGAGAUCGGAAUUCCUGGUGUAGCGGUGAAAUGCGCAGAUAUCAGGAGGAACACCGGUGGCGAAGGCGGGAUCUCUGGGCCAGUACUGACGCUGAGGAGCGAAAGCGUGGGGAGCGAACGGG
rnacentral:rRNA from 1 species